AUGCCCCAAAUAUAGAAUCUGAAAGAAAUAGCUUCUACAAAAAAUUAAAUGACUUUUUAAACAAAAAACGCAAUAGGUACAAUAAUUUUAGGAGGAGGAGAUAUGAACGACGCCCUUAAAAAUGUAGAUAGGAAAAGUUCAAAUAUUCGUAAAAAAGCAAGUAAACCAGUCAAUAGCCUAAAAAAUCUAAUAAAAUCAAAUGAUCUUAUAGAUAUAUGGAGACACGUUAACCCUCAAAAGAUCCAAUAUACAUGGAGACGUAAAAAUCCAGUUCAGUCUAGUAGAAUUGACAUGUUCCUAGUUAAAAAAGAUUUCGUGUUAAACGUAAAGUCAUGUGAUAUUAGGCCUAUUCUUAUUAAAAGUACUGACCACCAAGCAGUAUCAAUACAAUUACAAUCUGUAUCAUCUGAAACAAGAGGCCCGGGGUAUUGGAAAAUUAACAACGGUAUUCUCAACGAGCAAGAAUACGAAGACAAAAUAAAUAAAAUUAUACAAAAACAUAGUAAUGAG
rnacentral:lncRNA from 1 species